UACGGAGGGUGCAAGCGUUAUCCGGAUUACUGGGUUUAAAGGGUGCGUAGGUGGGUUGGUAAGUCAGUGGUGAAAUACUUUCGCUUAACGAAGGAACUGCCAUUGAUACUACCAGUCUUGAAUACAGUGGAGGUAGGCGGAAUGCGUCAUGUAGCGGUGAAAUGCUUAGAUAUGACGCAGAACACCAAUUGCGAAGGCAGCUUGCUACACUGUUAUUGACACUGAGGCACGAAAGCGUGGGGAUCAAACAGG
rnacentral:rRNA from 1 species